rnacentral:rRNA from 1 species
UACGGAGGGUGCAAACGUUGCUCGGAAUCAUUGGGCGUAAAGCGCACGUAGGCGGCUGAUCAAGUUGGAUGUGAAAGUCCUCGGCUCAACCGGGGAAGUGCACCCAAAACUGGUCGGCUUGAAUCAUGGAGGGGGUCAGAGAAUUCUCGGUGUAGAGGUGAAAUUCGUAGAUAUCGGGAGGAAUACCAGUGGCGAAGGCG